GGUUACUGCUAUCGGUGUUCGCCUAAGCCAUGCGAGUCAUAUGUUCUUCGGAACAUGGCGUACUGCUCAGUAACACGUGGAUAACCUGCCCUUGGGUCCGGCAUAACCCCGGGAAACUGGGGAUAAUUCCGGAUAACGCACAUAUGCUGGAAUGCUUUAUGCGUCAAAUGGAUUCGUCCGCCCAAGGAUGGGUCUGCGGCCUAUCAGGUAGUAGUGGGUGUAAUGUACCUACUAGCCUACGACGGGUACGGGUUGUGAGAGCAAGAGCCCGGAGAUGGAUUCUGAGACAUGAAUCCAGGCCCUACGGGGCGCAGCAGGCGCGAAAACUUUACAAUGCGGGAAACCGUGAUAAGGGGACACCGAGUGCCAGCAUCAUAUGCUGGCUGUCCGGGUGUGUAAAAUACACCUGUUAGCAAGGGCCGGGCAAGACCGGUGCCAGCCGCCGCGGUAACACCGGCGGCCCGAGUGGUGAUCGUGAUUAUUGGGUCUAAAGGGUCCGUAGCCGGUUUGGUCAGUCCUCCGGGAAAUCCGACGGCUUAACCGUUAGGCUUUCGGGGGAUACUGCCAGACUUGGAACCGGGAGAGGUAAGAGGUACUACAGGGGUAGGAGUGAAAUCUUGUAAUCCCUGUGGGACCACCUGUGGCGAAGGCGUCUUACCAGAACGGGUUCGACGGUGAGGGACGAAAGCUGGGGGCACGAACCGGAUUAGAUACCCGGGUAGUCCCAGCCGUAAACGAUGCUCGCUAGGUGUCAGGCAUGGCGCGACCGUGUCUGGUGCCGCAGGGAAGCCGUGAAGCGAGCCACCUGGGAAGUACGGCCGCAAGGCUGAAACUUAA
rnacentral:rRNA from 1 species